ACGCGAGUGCUGCCUCUUUCCGGCUCGUGGCGGGGGGAGGCGGGGCGGCCCCUGCCCUGCCCCGGGGCGGUGCCGGCAGCUCUCGGCGGGGCGGUGGAGCGGGUGCCGGUGCCAUGGCCGGUGGUCGGUGGCUGAUGGAGCCGCGGCGGUUGAUGCGAGCCGGGCUGGGGCUCAUCGUGCUGGGGCACGGCGGCCUGGCGCUGGGCGCCAUCGUGCACGGCUCCGUUCUGCGCCAUGUGGCCGGUACCAGCCGCGCCGUCACUCCCGCGUACGCGGUGGCCAACGUGGUGUCGGUGGUCUCGGGGCUGCUGAGCAUCGCCGCCGGUAUUGUCGCCAUCCUGGUGUCGCACAACCUGUCCCGGGCAGUGCUGCACUGGGCCCUCCUGAGCGUGUCCCUGCUGAACUGCCUCCUGUCCACAGCGUGCAGUGUGGGCCUGGCGGUGGCCAUCGCCCUCACCGUUCACAGCCGGGGCAUGCACCUUAUCACCGGCUGCAACAGCUCUGCGCUGCCUGCUGACGCCCGUGCAGCCAUAGCGACCAAUGACUGUCCUUUCAACACCACUCGCAUCUAUAAUCACAGGAUGGUUUGGGUUGAAGGGACCUUAAAGCUUAUCCAGUUCCAACCCCCUGCCGUGGGCAGGGACACCUUCCACUAGACCAUGUUGCUUAAUGCCCUAUCCAGCCCGGCCUGGAACACUGCUGGGGAUGGAGCAUUUAUCACUUCUUUGAGCAACCUGCGCCAGUGCCUCACCACCCUCACAGUAAAGAACUUCUUCCUUAUAUCUAACCUGAACUUCCCCUGUUUAAGUUUGAACCCAUUACCUGUUGUCCUAUCACUACAGUCCCUGAUGAAGAGUCCCUCUCCAGCAUCCUUGUAGGCCCCCUUCAGAUACUGGAAGGCUGUUAUGAGGUCUCCAUGCAGCUUCUCUCUCCAGGCUGAACAGCCCCAACUUUCUCACUGCCUCUCCCAUGUGCCCGCCCUUUCUCUGCCACUCUUUCUGUCUCCCUUUCUUUCUCCCUCUGCCCCCCUCCCUGCACAGCCUCUGCUCAGCUGCAUGGGCUAGGCUGGGUGCAGUGGACCACGCAAGCCACCCUGUGGGACCUCCAACCCUCUGCUCCGCAGGACACAGCCCUGGCGCUCUGGUUCCCCUCCAUGGUGCUGGCAGCCGCAGAAGCUGUGCUGUCUGGCAGGUGCUGUGUGGUAGCUCUGGUCUUCCGGGGCAUUGGGCCCUGUGCACGCAGCUACACCAAAGAGCAGCUGGCUGGACCAAGUACAGUGAAGGAGGGGCCCCCACGUGAGAUGCAGCAGCUCCUGACAGGGCUGGCUGAGUCUUGUACCUAGCUGGAGAGGUAGUGCUGCAGGAGUGCUGUGAUCCAGUGAGGUGAAGUUGCACCUGCACCGUGCUCCUGCUCCUGGUCUAGGUGUGGGUAGGGUGGGCUGCAGGGGGUAAGGGGUCUGCCUUCCCCCCCAGCCCCACCACCCCAUCUGGGACAGACCCUGCAGGUUCCAGACACAAGCUGCCCAUGGUCACCAGGCAGCCUUUGCCCAGCAGGCGCUGUGCACCUUGGAUGCUGUCCCCUUCUGUCCCCAAGCUGCAGGGCCCUUUGGAGCACGCUGAAGGCUCCAUCGGUCUUUUACAUGCAGUGAUGGUGGCAGGCAGAGGUGCAACAGGCAGGGUCCUGGUGGCCCUGCUGCAGAGCAGGCAGGGUCAGCUUGCUGCACCUGUGCUCAGGCAGACCAAGGAAUGGAAGAUGAAGAAUCCCUUUGUUGUGAGCCUCUGUUGUUUCCCUGAGUAAAUAAACUUUUAUACUGACUGCUCUAA